rnacentral:rRNA from 1 species
AAUGAACGCUGGCGGCGCGCCUAAUACAUGCAAGUCGAGCGAGAAGCUGUAGCAAUACAGUUGUACAGUGGCGAACGGGUGAGGAAUACAUGGGUGACCUACCCUCGAGUGGGGAAUAACCAGCCGAAAGGUUGGCUAAUACCGCGUACGCUUCCCAGUCUACGGUUGGGAGGAAAGCGAUGCCGUGGGUAUCGCGCUCAAGGUUGGGCUCAUGUCCUAUCAGCUUGUUGGUGGGGUAACGGCUCACCAAGGCAACGACGGGUAGCUGGUCUGAGAGGACGAUCAGCCACACUGGCACUGCGACACGGGGCCAGACUCCUACGGGAGGCAGCAGUAAGGAAUAUUGCGCAAUGGGCGAAAGCCUGACGCAGCGACGCCGCGUGGGGGA